CAUCAACAAUGCAAAUGUUUUUUUUUUACAAGGGAGAAAAUCAAUAAAAUAAGUAGAAACUGAACUGCAAACAACAAAUACUGCAAAUAAGCAAGACUAACCAUGAAAAAAGCCAUAGAAAUAGUCAAAAUUCAACAACCAACAAGAUGAAUAACAAGGGCAAAAUUUCUUGCAAUGCAAAAUAGAAUAAAAGCAAAUUCAGCUCUUUCUCUCUCUCUCUCUCUCUCUCUAAAGAAGAAUUUCAGAAAAAAUUGGAGGAAGGAGAGAUUUCCACCUUGUCCACAUUGCAAAAAAACAAACCACACUGAGAACUACUGCUGGUUCAGACCUGGAGCUCAAUGUAAGGUUUGUAAGCAAUUUGGUCACACCGAGAAAGUUUGUUCUACAAACCAGAAUCAACAAACACAAGCCCAUCAUGCACAAGUCACCAAAAAUUCUGAAAACUCUGAAGAACAACUAUUUGCUGC